GUAUAACAGAGCUCCACAGCAAUAAUACUCCCAGUAAUGUGUCUGUGUAUAACAGAGCUCCACAGCAAUAAUACUCCCAGUAAUGUGUCUGUGUGUAUAACAGAGCUCCACAGCAAUAAUACUCCCAGUAAUGUGUCUGAGUGUGUAACAGAGCCCCACAGCAAUAAUACUCCCAGUAAUGUGUCUGAGUGUAUAACAGAGCUCCACAGCAAUAAUACUCCCAGUAAUGUGUCUGAGUGUAUAACAGAGCUCCACAGCAAUAAUACUCCCAGUAAUGUGUCUGAGUGUAUAACAGAGCUCCACAGCAAUAAUACUCCCAGUAAUGUGACUGUGUGUAUAACAGAGCUCCACAGCAAUAAUACUCCCAGUAAUGUGUCUGAGUGUAUAACAGAGCUCCACAGCAAUAAUACUCCCAGUAAUGUGUCUGAGUGUAUAACAGAGCUCCACAGCAAUAAUACUCCCAGUAAUGUGUCUGAGUGUAUAACAGAGCUCCACAGCAAUAAUACUCCCAGUAAUGUGUCUGAGUGUAUAACAGAGCUCCACAGCAAUAAUACUCCCAGUAAUGUGUCUGAGUGUAUAACAGAGCCCCACAGCAAUAAUACUCCCAGUAAUGUGUCUGAG